UUUUAGCCCUGAUAGUAGCGGCAUCCUUUGCUGCCGAUUUUCGGCAGGAAAGAUAGAGCGGAUAGCAGGAUAAGCU
rnacentral:sRNA from 1 species